CACUGUGUUGGAAAACAGGGGAAGGUGCGCCAGAUUGAGCAGUGAAAGAAGUGGAAAAUUGUCGCCCUGCUGAAUUAUCUUGAA